UUCAUUGCAACCGAAAUGCGCUGAUCCCGGGCAGAUCCACUCCUCUCGAUCCGACGAGCUCGCGCCCAACCUCCUUUGGCCUGAGGUUUAAAACUGCUCCCUCCCCUCGUCCAUCCUUCCGAUGCACGUCAAAGCCGCUGAUUAAGCCCACCGUCGAACCAUCGAUGGGGUGCAGGGGAGGGCAGUGUCUGCCAUUGGCGACUUCUGUCUAAACCACUAUGUAGGGCUCUAGGAUUGAUCAUGGUGAAGCGCCAUAUGUCGAGGAUCACGUGUGUCACGGUGGCAAGCAGGAUGGGUGGUCGGAGCUAGAGCAAUUGCUCGAUGGAGCAAUUGGCGCCGUCGUGGAUCGCACCGCACCGUGGCUGAGGGCCACCCCAACUUCACCCACUGGUAAGCCACAUCGAUCCAGACUGCUUGGAUUCCUGCCUUGCGUUGCACCGACCUCGAGAGGAAAUGGGGUAGUGGAGCGCGGUGGCGGGAUCACACCGUUGAAUCCGUCGCGGUGGAGCUACGGGCGCCACCCAGCGUUGUCCUUUGAGAAAGAAGAUGUCCUACGUCCUAGGGUCGUUGAUGAACGAAUCAAUGGAGUCGAUUAGAUCAGGUUUAAUAAAAGUGUGGGCAGUUGAAACCCAGAUGAGCGCAUGAUAUCACAUCUAUCAUACCCUUGGAUCUGGUGAUUGAGAUUGCAUGCCGAUUCGGACUCUAUUGUCAGCCCUUGGAUCGCGAUCUGGUGAACCAGAGCGCUUCACGGACAUAGCAGCACGGUAGUCUUCCAUAUGAGCACCUCGGCUUUUACAAAAUCAACCCGCAGUCCUUACACAUAUACGAAUUAUCGCAAAACAUUCCUGAAUUUUAGAAUUCAGACCCUAGACUUCCUAGGAAUAGCACCGGCCAUCCACAAGCUACCUAAAAAUACGAAAUAAAUAUAGAAAUACAAUUUUAAUAUGGAAAAGAUUCCAUAAGCUUAUUUAAUUCAUAACUUAUGCAUUUUAGCUCCGAUUUGAUCCACCUAAAUCGCGCUAGCUUCGUAAUAAAAUUGACUACACAAUAACAACACUAUUCGUAACAUAUCAUGAACCUUUAUCAAUAGAUAUAUAUUUAACUGGUGUUUAAUAGAUUAUCUUACUAAUCAAAGAUAAUAUGUCUAUAAUUAUUAUUUGACAAGAAAGGUGAUCUGUAGAUUAAAGUUAUAACUUAGAUUAAAGUUAAAAUGACUUAUUUCUUUAGAAUAUCUUUAUUACAUGAAUUAUAACCAAUAUAGAAUAUAGUUUCGUACUUAACCACAUAGAACUUCCAAAAACUAUACUUUUUUACCAUAACUCCAAAUUUAGUCGUUUUAGAACAUACGUUCUCGUAGCCGCACGUAGAAUAUUCUCACGCUGUUUGUUCUCAUGUUUGGUGUAAUUUUAUUUUUAUGUACUCCUUGUCUAUUUGUAUGUAUGCUACGCAUAGGAGUGAGGUCACGAGAUAUCUGAAGACCAACUUGGUGAAGUACCUAGAGAUCUUGAGUCUAAGGCAAGUUGUGCCCUUAAUCACUCCUUUUUACCUAAUAAUGUUGUUGGUCACUUGUUCUCAAAUGCUAUAAAUCAAGAACAAGGCAACACAAUUGUUAAUGGUUAAAGACCUUCGUCCUUCGAAGCAUUAUUUCCUCUCGGAUAUAACGAUCUUCACACGAAGGUCAUGACGAACAUCCUUCAUCAUUUCAUCAUAUAAAUAUAAAUAAGAAAGUAAAGGAAUACAUAUAAUAACAAUUAUUUAUCAAUAAUAUAUUUAUUUUUGUAUUCCAUAAACAUGAAUAAACAUCAAUAAUAUUCAUGUUACAUUGGUACCUUCGGCUUGGCGGAAGGUGAGGGUGCGAGAAUGACGCGAGAGUGGUUAUAAUCCAGCGUGAGCAAUACGAUGUUACUGUUCAUCUAUUUAUAGGCACGGGACGCAGCCCAGAUAAAAGUACAUUUAUGUCCCUAGAAACUAUCUAUAAUCUUAACAUGAAUUGUUAAGGACUGUAUGGUCUUUAUCCUCUUUCAGUCAUCAUCAUACAUGAGCUUCGUCAACAUGUCCAGCCGAAGUCCAUUGGCUUCCAGCUUCGUCGUCCAUUCUUUAUUUCCCUUCGUUCUGUCAUAAGAGAAGUCCUCCAUCCCAAAGUCGAAGCUUCUUGUAACUAUUCAUAAUCAUGCUAAAAACAUAUGGUUAGUCACGUUUUUUAGGACCUUUGGAAGAGGAAGACCUCCAACAGUAGCCCCUCGCAGUAUUAACUUGUUUCUUUGUAACAAAUUUAGACUGCGACGUGAACGCAUGCCUUUAGCCGAAGGUCUGAAAAAACACCUUCCCUUCGCUAGAAUAGCGAACGACACUGACAUGCCGGACCCACCAAAUCGUGGGGCGCUAGGCAUAUAAAUAGGAGGUCGUAUUGAAAGCAUUUCUUGUGCCAUUUUAAUGCUUACACUGUGCUCGCCAUUUUAAACUUUCUUGCUUUGUCGAGUUUUGAUCGGAUUUUAAGCUUCGGCAUUUCAACAAGCUUUGAUUUGAUGGCUGGCGAGAAGAAGACUAUCGACCCAGUGAUGUCCAAGUUUUACGAAGCUAUGGAAAGAACCAAUGCAGAAAAGAUUGCACAUGAGACACUAGCUGGGAUAUCUAAGGGUUCCAGUGAUAGUGAAGACUUUGGUGUACAAAGUGCGAAUGAGGGUGCCGAAGAUCGGUAUUGGAGACCAAGCCAUGUUGUCUUCAAGAAAUCAACCAUCGAACAAGGACAAAUUGAUGCAAUGAGGGAAGGUACUUCUGUGACAUUUCUAUUGUGAGGGCUGGAGGGGAGAAUUAUGUCCCUCUGCCCGAAGCUGACGAGGUGGUCGUUUAUAGAAGCUUCAUGAAAGCAGGGCUUCGGUUCCCUCUGGAUAAGAUGUUGGUCGAAGUCCUGAAAACUUUCGAAAUUUAUCUUCAUCAGCUUACUCCCGAAGCUAUCAUCAAGAUGGGGUUCUUUAUUUGGGCCAUGAGGAGCCAAGGGUUAGAACCAAAUGCAAAAUGCUUCUGCAACAUGCAUGAAUUGUCUUAUGAGAUGAAGGCCACCGAAAAAGAGCAAUAUCAUAACAACUUCGGUUGCUACAACUUCGUAACCUGCUCUGAGGUGAGCAACCUAGUUCCAACAUUUCGCAAGAGAUGACCGGGGGCCUGGAUGCAGGAGUGGUUCUAUGUGAAAAAUGAUCUGGUUGAAAGGGAAGACAUCAAGGGGGUUAUCCAACGUGCUUUAUGGUCUCACUUCGGCAUUAGGAGGCCAUCCCUUGCCCUUGGGAAUGACAUACAAGCAUGCCAAGCUGAUUUUAACACACUAUGCACUUACAUAGGUUCCAUGGACUUAGUUCAAUAACACAUUGCUUACAAAGUGUGGCCACUCAGAAGUGGGUGGGAGAUGCUGAAGGAGGCUGCUGCUCGGUCUAGCCAAGGUGGCUUAAUUUACUUGAAGUAUACGUUCAAAUACAUGAACCAAUUUGAUGAGCCAAACGACGAUAGGCUAGAUGCCAUUGAAGCAACCAGUGAUGAAUUGCUUGGUGCUUAUUCAAGGGCCGAAGAUGAUGCUAUGACAGCGGCCUUCGGGGGUCGAGGCAAAAAGAGGCUGAAUAGGGUUUUUGAUGUCAUCGGGUUCGUAUACCUAGAUUACUGUUAUCCUUCGCGAAAGCAAGGAAAGAAAAGAAAAGCUGCCACUUCAGCGAUCUCUAAUAUGCUGAAGCCGAAAAAAGUUAAGGUUUUAACACAUUGCCCCAAGCGCGCUGAAACGACCGAAGUGCCGAAGCCUAUUGAGGAGUCUACUUCUGCACGUGAGCCCGGCCACUCUACACCCGUCGAAACCAGAUCAGAACCGGCCGAAGAGCUAGGACUAAGGAAAUCGGUAGAGCAAUCGAAGGCUUUGAGUCUGUUGCAUGAGACGGAGCUACCGAAGGUAUCAAAGAUUGCUGCAAUAACUCCGAAGAGGAGGAGGAUGGCCAGCGUACUAGACGCUGUUAUCGAAUCUGUAAAGCUGUCGACUCCUGCCUCAGCACCUGAUGCAGAGGGUGAAGCCCUAAAGAAAUCUAGCGAAGCUAGCAUGGCGCAGGCUACUGUUGAAGCUGAACCGUCAGUCCCUGCUGAAGCAAGAUCUUUGGAGGCUACUGAAGAAGGUACUGAAACAAGACUUUCGGAGGCUGCCGGAGCACCAUUGAUGUUGGAAAAAGAAGGUGUUGCUGAAGAAUCUGAAUCUCCUGCCCUCGGAGCGCAUACCGAGGAAUUGGAAUUCAUAGUGCGACAUGCUUCAGGGAAAAAAUUAUCGAAGGAGCAAAUUGCCGAAGCGUAGCAUUAUGUCAGGGAUCUGAAGUACCCUCGAGGGUCCUUGGUGUAUAGUGUCAAUGACGAAGAUUACUUCCUUUGUUGUCUGCCAGACAAUAAGAAGAUUCAUGUCUGCCGAGAGAUGGCAGACAAUGUAGGACACCCGAAGCUUGAACUCGGCUUAUUUGCAAUGAUGAAGGACCAAGUCACAGAUAGCCUUGCCUAUAACAGUCUGAAGGUGAGAAUAUUUUAACUUGUUGCAAAACAAAUUAUUUUUGUAGCUUUUCUUAUCAUCAUGUGCUCAUCCUUUGUUUUUGUAGGGUUUAAUUCUGAGCAAGGCUUUAAAGGCCCAGAAGAACGCCGAAGAAGAAAAUUGCCAAUUAGCUCUUGGAAAUCAUCGAUCAGAGAUUAUCACACUAAGGAAUGAAGCACUUGAGAAAUACAAAAUAAUGUUCUCCUUAGUGAACAAACUUAAAACUUGCGAAUCCAAACUUAGUGCCCACGACGAAGCCCACAGAGCUGAAGUCGAAGAUUUGAAGAAAAAACUUUCAGAUAUGAAUGAAAAUUUCGAAGUUCCAAAGGCUAAGCAAAAUAAGUGAAAUGGAAAGGGCCAGGGUGCAGAAGAAUGUUGAAGAAGUUUGGGACUCCAAAGAAAGAUGCUACGAAACAUCCAUAGAAUGCGCGAAGAAACUGAAAGAUAGCUUUGCAAAAGAUGGGAGCAUACUCUUCGAAGCAAAAAUUUAUUUGUGGUGAUCCCGAAGGGGUUAUCAGUGGAUCGUCAAAGAGGCCGAAGCUUUUGAAGAAAUACUCAGCGAUCGUGGGGACUUCUGUGCCUUCGCCGGUGCAGGAAGGGUUGCAGCAAUUUUAGAGAAGGCUGGAUGUGCAUAUGUUAAGACAGUAGCCCAACCAGAGUUUGUUUUCUCAGUAUAUGACACCAAGGAUCCCUCAGCUGAAGCCUCUUUGCUAAGCGGAAUAUUUUACUAUGAUGUUUGGAUGAAGGGCGGUCGUGAAGUAGCUGAUGAAAUCAUUAAAAAGAGUGAAAAGGAAUCUCAUGACGCCCGAGAGGAGGAUAAGCGAGCUGAAGAAGCUGCUGAACGCGCCACGAUUAUAGGUACUUUUUAUUUAAAGCUUUUUUUCAUUGUUCAUUUCUAGCUUCGAAAUUCAUCAUCAAAUACUUUAUUACAGUCAACCUUUCUCCACCACCGGAGCCGAACAACCCCGAAGCUGACCCAGUUAUGAAAGAAGCUUUAGAUGUAAUGAAGGUUGCCAAUGAAGUCGUUGACGAAGUCGUCGACAGACUAUUACAUUAAGCCGUUGAGAAAAUACUAAACGGAGAUUAAAUUCUUGUAUGCUGGAAAGUGUAAUGCUUGUGCAUGGUUGUCGUCAUGUGUAUGGAACAAACAUCAAAUAUUUGUAUGUACAUUAAUGUAAUAUAUCUCUUUGUGAUGCAUGAAACCUACGUACGUACCAUUUUUGAGCCUUUGGCGAAAAAACACCUUCCCUUCUUUUCAUGCUUCGCAAAGAAAAUUUCCUUAUGGCACUGUUGAUGAAGGUUCGCUUCGUGUGGUACAAUAUAUCUGCCAAAUGUAUAUGUUGUGGUAUAGCACAUUUUUUUGUGAUUCGACAAGUAUUUUUGAAGGAGCAAUUUCCCCUCUUCUCCACAGCUUUUUGCCGAUGCGAUGCUAUGAUAUGAUGUGAUGCUAUGCGAUAUGAUAUGAUGAUAUGAUGCAAAAUGAUGUUUAUGCCGAAGAUAAAAACCCGCACGAAUACACAACCAGACUCUGCAUCCCCUUAGGAACGACUUUGGAGUCUCUUCACCUUUUACUUAGGUGGUAUUUCAGCUCUGCAUUCCCUUAGGAACGACUUUGGAGCUAAGCUCUGCAUCCCCUUAGGAACGACUUUGGAGCUUCUUCACCUUUUAGUUAGGUGGCAUUUAAGCUCUGCAUCCCCUUAGGAACGACUUUGGAGCUUCUUCACCUUUUAUUUAGGUGGCAUAUUGGCUCUGCAUUCCCUUAGGAAUGAAUUUUGAGCUUUGGAACUUACUCUGCGCCCCCUUAGGAACGACUUUGGAGCUAUGGAACUUACUCUGCGCUCCCUUAAGAACGUCUUUGGAGCUCCAAAACUUGCUCUUAUCACACUCGAAGGUGUAACCAUAAGUUUAUUACAUCAUGUUGAAGGUUAAACCUUCCUGUAUUGUCUUUUGCCACAAAAAUAUAAAAAAUAGUAGAAAUAAAACACAUCAGGAUUUUCUUCUAGCCAAAACAUUGUGACAUCUUCAGUAGAUGUGUCUAGAUUCGGGCAUAAUGCUAUUAACUGUGCGAGCCUCAGACUACUCCCGAAGAUCAUGUUGUUGUUGAGACCGAAGGUACCGUUUUGGCUGUUGACCAUGGUUUUGGAUAGGCGCCAUUGGUGGUGGUGGUGGCAACUGAGCUCAGGAAGCUUGGGAAUGACUGGCCGAAGCAACAGAGGUCGUGGGAUGUUGGUUGCCCACAUACUCUGGGAUAUACGGGGAGUAACACGAAGCAGUAUCCAGGACCUGCUUCGGCUGAUUCUGCCAUGCUUCGGCUUCAACGAUUUCCUUAUGUUUCUGGAUUAUUACCUAGCACGUCCUUGUGGUAUGCCCCUUAUCUUCACCGCAGAAUAAGCAAAACAGUCUCCUAGGCUGAUUUCCAAAUCUUCCUCUGAAGCUUCUCCCCCCUCUACCUCUUAGAGUCGGUGGCCUGAAAGAGCUUUGUUGUGCUCCUGAUGAUUGAGAGCUGUGUUGCUGCCCUUGGGUAGGAUUUCCCCUGUCGCCGCUUGAGUUGGGAUUAUGGAUCGACCUGACAUGCCUAGGGUGGAGUCUUCCUCCGAAGCUCCUAGUCAUCUCAAAGUAUCUGUCAGCUUCUUCACUUCUUUGCCGAAAAUCAUUGUUAGCUCGGAUGUAUUCAUCCAUCUUCUGGAGGAGCUUCUCCAAUGUUUGUGGUGGCUUUAUUGCAAAGUAUUGUGCUGUAGGUCUUGGCCAGAGCCCCUUGAUCAUGGCCUCAAUGACGAUUUCAUUGGGCACUGUAGGCACUUGAGCUCUCAGUCGCAAGAACCUUUGGACAUAUGCCUGCAGGUACUCCUCAUGGUCCUGCGUGCACUGAAACAAAGCCUGAGCAGUGACUAGCUUCGUCUGGAAGCCCUGAAAGCUGGUGACUAGCAUGUCCUUCAGCUUCUGCCAUGAGGUAAUUGUUCUUGGCUGAAGAGAGGAAUACCAUGUCUGAGCCACACUUCUAACUGCCAUGACGAAGGAUUUCGCCAUGACAGCAGUGUUGCCCCCAUACGAGGAUAUGGUGGCCUCGUAACUCAUCAAGAACUGCUUCGGAUCUAAAUGCCCAUUGUACAUGGGGAGCUGAGGUGGCUUGUAUGAUGGUGGCCAUGGGGUAGCCUGCAAUUCUGCUGCCAGGGGAGAAGCUUCAUCAAAAGUAAAGUUAUCAUGAAGGAAGUCGUCGUACCAUUCGUCUUUGUUGAAUGGGUUUUCCUGACGAAGCUCCCUGUGCUAAGGCCUUUGGUCUUGGUCAUCUUGAGUAAGAUGACACAUCUCCUCAGUGGCUUCGUAUAUCUUCUUCUGGAGGUCGGCCAGCCAGAGCAUCUUCUCCUUUUUCCUUUGUACUUGUUGAUGGAUGGCCUCCAGAUCCCUGAUCUCUUGGUCUAGCUCCUCCUCUUGAAGUGUUUGGCUGGUGGCUUUUCUCUUCUGAGUCCUAGCUUCUCGGAGGGGGAGCGUCUUCUGUUUUGUGUCCAGUGGCUGCAGUGCAGCCCCUGGCGCUGUUGUCUUCUUCGGCAGCAUGACGAAGGUGGAUGCUUGCCGAAGGUGGUCGUUCGAGUUCACCGGAGGUGGGCGCCAAUAUUGGUCACUUGUUCUCAAAUGCUAUAUAAAUCAAGAACCAGGCAACACAAUUGUUAAUGGUUAAAGACCUUCGUCCUUCGAAGCAUUAUUUCCUCUCGGAUAUAAUGAUCUUCAGACGAAGGUCAUGAAGGACAUACCUUCAUCAUUUCAGCAUAUAAAUAUAAAUAAGAAAGUAAAGGAAUACAAAGGAAUACAAAUAAUAACAAUUAUGUAUCAGUAAUCUAUUUAUUUUUGUAUUCCAUAAACAUCAAUAAUAUUCAUGUUACAUUGGUACGUUCGGCUUGGCAGAAGGUGAGGGUGCGAGAAUGACGCAAGAGUGGUUACAAUCUAGCGUGAACAGUACGAUGUUAAUGUUCAUCUAUUUAUAGGCACGAGAUGCAUCCCAAAUAAAAGUACAUUUAUGUCCCUAGCAACUAUCUAUAAUCUUAACAUGAAUUGUUAAUGAUUGUAUGGUCUUUAUCCUCUUUCAAUCAUCAUCAUACUUGAGCUUCAUCAACAUGUCCAGCCGAAGUCCUUUGGCUUUUAGCUUUGUCGUCCAUUCUUUAUUUCCCUUCGUUCUGUCAUAGAGAAGUCCUCCAUCCCAAAGCCGAAGCUUCUUGUAACUAUUCAUAAUCAUGCUGAAAACAUAUGGUUGUCAUGUUUUUGAGGACCUUCGGAAGAGUAAGGCCCCCAACAAAUGUUCGCUGUUAAUCACUGUGACAUGCUCAGGUUAAUUUGAUGGGACCUAAUAGAUUUCCCUAGCUUAGUUUAUCCCUCACCUUGCAGACACAUGAAUUAUUGGGUAGAUUUGCUAUUGCUCUACCUAGUUUUGGGAAGCUAUUGUUUUAUUAUGAUCAUUUUCCAAUGAUGAUGUUGUCUAAUUAUUGUUCGUGAUAAGAUCAUAUUGUUAAUUGGAACAUGGAGCGACCACCCGAGAAAAUAGUGCUACCACAAGGGUGGUAUGGGACGUCCUUGGCUGACUAAUUAGGAAAGCUAGUGGAGGACUACCUUACCCGAAAGAGGCAAGGGCAGUAGGGGAGUGGUCGGUGUAGGGAGGUUCUCGGGCUGAUUUUUCUGUGGUGGCGGUCAUACGAGGGAUCCCUGCAUUGGGGCUUCCUAGAAACUGUAGCGGGUUUUCUGAAGCUAGUGGAACUUUGUAAAGGCCUCGUAGUGGUACCCUGCCUCGCUUCCUUGGUAGAGGUGUAUGGGGUCCGAUCAAUCUCGUGGCAAAUGGGUAACACGACUUGUGGGUAAAGAUGCGCAACCUCUGCAGAGUGUAAAACUGGUAUAUCAGCCAUGCUCACGGUCAUGAGCGGCUCGGACCCUCACAUGAGUAAUUUAUGGAACUAAACUUAAUUUGUCAUAUGCAUUGCAUUGUGGGUGUUGAUAUUAACUUGAUCUCUUACUUAUUUGGUUUGGUAUCUACUGACACUUAGUAACUGCUAAUAAAUUUUUGACCAACUUUAAAAGUAAUGUUCAGCUUUAACCAUCUCUUUUGGUAAGCCUUACACUUCACAUGAGCUCCCACCUUUGGUGAGUUCAUGCACAUUAUUCCCCACAACUUGUCGAGCGAUGAACAUAUGUGAGCUCACCCUUGCUGUACUCACAUCCCCCAGGUCAAGAACAGGUACCGCAGGAUGAGACGGAUGGGGGAUGCUGUGAUGAGUUCGUGAGAGGUCUAGGUCGUCGUCUCCCAAUCAACUUUGGGUUGAUGGAUCGUGGUCUCCAUAUGAUGUAAUUAUUUGUUUAUUUUGUACAGAACUCCAUUAUAUAUAAAUGAUGUAACAUUCAUUUCUGUACCAUGAGUCAUCAUAUGUAUGAGACUUGGUCCCAGUACACUUGGUGAUUAUGUUCACGCCCGGGUCUUAGGACCCUGAAACCCGGUUGUG
rnacentral:lncRNA from 1 species